GACGGAGGAUGCAAGUGUUAUCCGGAAUCACUGGGCGUAAAGCGUCUGUAGGUGGUUUAAUAAGUCAACUGUUAAAUCUUGAGGCUCAACCUCAAAAUCGCAGUCGAAACUAUUAGGCUAGAGUAUAGUAGGGGUAAAGGGAAUUUCCAGUGGAGCGGUGAAAUGCGUAGAGAUUGGAAAGAACACCGAUGGCGAAGGCGGGUCUCUGGGCAGUAACUGACGCUGAGGAGCGAAAGCGUGGGGAGCGAACAGG
rnacentral:rRNA from 1 species